GAAUGGGUACUCACGGGAUGCACCCCACUGAUCACCAGGGUAGGUUGAGCUGAUCUGGCUGGCUAGGUGGGUGUCCCCUUCCUCCCUCACCGCUCCAUGUGUGCCCUUCCAGAAACUGUGUACUUGGUGGUAAAGGGGAUAGCCUUCCCCAAAUAGAGAUAUGGACUGGUCUUCAGUGGAGGGUAUAUAAGUAGCCAUGUUCCCCCACUAGAACUUUCAAACAUGCUCUCAAGAUCAGCGCUUUUCCAAUGUAGAUAUCAUAGAGCCAUAUAAGCAAUGAGACUGUUUGAACAAAGAUUAAACCAUUCCUUGGGAACACAAACAUUCCAAAUUAAACUCUUUAAUUC
ensembl:misc_RNA 7SK 7SK RNA